UACGAAGGGGGCUAGCGUUGUUCGGAAUUACUGGGCGUAAAGCGCGCGCAGGCGGUUCUUUAAGUCAGGGGUGAAAGCCCAGAGCUCAACUCUGGAAUUGCCUUUGAAACUAGAGAACUUGGGUACGGGAGAGGUGAGUGGAAUUCCGAGUGUAGAGGUGAAAUUCGUAGGUAUUCGGAAGAACACCAGUGGCGAAGGCGGCUCACUGGCCCGUUACCGACGCUCAGGCGCGACAGCGUGGGGAGCAAACAGG
rnacentral:rRNA from 1 species